GACGAACGCUGGCGGCGUGCUUAACACAUGCAAGUCGAACGGAAAGGCCCUGCUCUUGUGGGGUGCUCGAGUGGCGAACGGGUGAGUAACACGUGAGUAACCUGCCCUUGACUUUGUGAUAACUUCAGGAAACUGGGGCGAAUACCGGAUAGGAGCUCCUGCUGCAUGGUGGGGGUUGGAAAGUGUCGGCGGUUGGGGCUGGAAUAGCUGCUUAUCAGCUUGAUGGUGGGGUAGUGGCUUACCAAGGCUUUGACGGGUAGCCGGCCUGAGAGGGUGACCGGCCACAUUGGGACUGAGAUACGGCCCAGAAUCCUACGGGAGGCAGCAGUGGGGAAUAUUGCACAAUGGGCGGAAGCCUGAUGCAGCAACGCCGCGUGCGGGAUGACGGCCUUCGGGUUGUAAACCGAUUUCGCCUGUGACGAAGCGUGAGUGACGGUAAUGGGUAAAGAAGCACCGGCUAACUACGUG
rnacentral:rRNA from 1 species